UACGUAGGUGGCAAGCGUUGUCCGGAAUUAUUGGGCGUAAAGGGCUCGCAGGCGGUCUUCUAAGUCUGAUGUGAAAUCUUGCGGCUUAACCGUAAGCGGUCAUUGGAAACUGGAGGACUUGAGUACAGAAGAGGAGAGUGGAAUUCCACGUGUAGCGGUGAAAUGCGUAGAGAUGUGGAGGAACACCAGUGGCGAAGGCGACUCUCUGGUCUGUAACUAACGCUGAGGAGCGAAAGCGUGGGGAGCAAACAGG
rnacentral:rRNA from 1 species